AUACCUUUCUCGGCCUUUUGGCUAAGAUCAAGUGUAGUAUCUGUUCUUAUCAGUUUAAUAUCUGAUAUGUAGGCCAUCGGCCUACUCGAUAUUAAUCUUAUUUUUUAUGGGGGAAGGCCCGUUACAGUAGCUUGCUGCUGGGGUUCUUCAUGCGUCGCCUUGGCCUUACACUACUGCCAAGGCCUGGCGCACCCCUC